rnacentral:rRNA from 1 species
AGAGCGGCGGACGGGUGAGUAACGCGUAGGAAUCUACCUGGUAGUGGGGGGACAACCUGGUGAAAACCAGGCUAAAACCGCAUACGCCCUAUGGGGGAAAGCGGGGGAUCUUCGGACCUCGCGCUAUUGGAUGAGCCUGCGUUGGAUCAGCUAGUUGGUGGGGUAAAAGCCAACCAAGGCGACGAUCCAUAGCUGGUCUGAGAGGACGAUCAGCCACACUGGGACUGAGACACGGCCCAG